AAAUAUAGAAAGAAGGUUACAAAGUGAAGAGAUAAGGCAUAUGCAAUGGUCAGAGUCCUUUUCUUUGUUUACUUUUUCCCUCUAAAAUAAUAAAUAAAAACCAUAUCUUAUUGGGUAUUUGGGACCCUAUUUCACAUGGCCUGAAUUCUCUAGAACCUUUCUCCACAUUCAUCUCACCUUAUUUUUUUUUAAUAUAUAAUAGUAUUUAUUAAAGUAUGGAAAACAAUAUUAAAUAAUAUUAGACCACAUAGUGUAAGAAAUAAAUGGAACAUUUGAAAGGUAUGAUCCUUGAGACAUGAACAAUAAACUUAUUCGACUUUGCUAUGGGAGCAACCUACUUCGUCUACCCUCACCCACCCAC
rnacentral:lncRNA from 1 species